AAUAUGUAUUGUUUCUUUCGACCUCCCAGUGCGAGAGUUUAUUAAUGAGCCGCCUGGGCUUAGAGCCUUGUUCAAGUGGUUGUUCACCCCCCCUAGAAUCAUGUGCAGUGUAGAUU
ensembl:ncRNA H13J03.1 ncRNA